CAGCCGCCGCGGGAAUACGUAGGGUGCAAGCGUUAAUCGGAAUUACUGGGCGUAAAGCGUGCGCAGGCGGUUAUAUAAGACAGAUGUGAAAUCCCCGGGCUCAACCUGGGAACUGCAUUUGUGACUGUAUAGCUAGAGUACGGCAGAGGGGGAUGGAAUUCCGCGUGUAGCAGUGAAAUGCGUAGAUAUGCGGAGGAACACCGAUGGCGAAGGCAAUCCCCUGGGCCUGUACUGACGCUCAUGCACGAAAGCGUGGGGAGCAAACAGGAUUAGAUACCCCCGUAGUCCCUGUCUCUUAACA
rnacentral:rRNA from 1 species